rnacentral:rRNA from 1 species
UACGUAGGUGGCAAGCGUUGUCCGGAUUUAUUGGGUUUAAAGGGUGCGUAGGUGGUCUAUUAAGUCAGUGCUGAAAUAUCCCGGCUUAACCGGGAGGGUGGCAUUGAUACUGAUGGACUUGAGUAAAGUUGAGGUAGGCGGAAUUGACGGUGUAGCGGUGAAAUGCAUAGAUAUCGUCAAGAACACCGAUAGCGAAGGCAGCUUACUGGGCUGUAACUGACGCUGAUGCACGAAAGUGUGGGGAUCAAACAGG